rnacentral:rRNA from 1 species
UACAGAGGGUGCGAGCGUUAAUCGGAAUUACUGGGCGUAAAGCGCACGUAGGUGGCGACGUAAGUCGGGUGUGAAAGCCCCGGGCUCAACCUGGGAAUUGCAUUCGAGACUGCAUUGCUGGAGUACGGAAGAGGAAGGCGGAAUUCCCGGUGUAGCGGUGAAAUGCGCAGAUAUCAGGAAGAACACCCGUGGCUAAGGCGGCUCUCUAGUACGGUACUGACGCUGAGACGCGAAAGCGUGGGGAGCGAACAGG